UUUAGAUCUAAAACAAAAAGAAAAAAGUAAAAAGAAAAUGAAUAAAUAAAUAUUUUUGAUCUUCCAUUUAGAUGGAAGAGAUGACAUGAUAUCGUCUUGAUAUUCUGACGGAACCGUGAACAGCUUUUCCUAGAAUCUAUGUAGGUCGACUUUCAUUCGUUCCGCUCGUCCAACUGGCAAAAACUGAAACUUCGACGACCGAAUGAAAAAUCUCACGUUCGAAUAUUUUCUUUCCACUUUUUAUUUUUAUUUUUAUUCCUUUUUAUUUCUUUUUUUUUUUUUUUUUUCUUUUCUUUCACUUCGUCGUACGUUACACCCCGUCGUGCGAUUAAAGAUUCUUUUUUUUUUCUUUUUAUCUUUGGUUUGUGUUAAAGGAAUACUUUCAAUAAGCGAGAAUAAUGUUCGUGAUACUAAUUGUCUUAUGAAUAUUAAAAAGAAUGAAAUGCUUCUUUUCUUUUUUUUCUUUUUUUCUUUUUUUUUUUU